rnacentral:rRNA from 1 species
CCUACGGGAGGCAGCAGUGGGGAAUAUUGCACAAUGGGGGAAACCCUGAUGCAGCGACGCCGCGUGAGUGAAGAAGUAUUUCGGUAUGUAAAGCUCUAUCAGCCGGGAAGAAAAUGACGGUACCUAAUUAAGAAGCCCCGGCGAACUACGUGCCAGCAGCCGCGGUAAUACGUAGGGGGCAAGCGUUAUCCGGAUUUACUGGGUGGAAAGGGAGCGGAGACGGCAGCACAAGUCUGGCGUGAAAUGCCGGGGCUUAACCCCGGAACUGCUUUGGAAACUGUGCAGCUAGAGUGCAGGAGAGGUGAGUGGAAUUCCUAGUGUAGCGGUGAAAUGCGUAGAUAUUAGGAGGAACACCAGUGGCGAAGGCGGCUUACUGGACUGUAACUGACGUUGAGGCUCGAAAGCGUGGGGAGCAAACAGGAUUAGAUACCCCUGUAGUC